GCAUAUGAGCACAAGGGCAGGACCCAACCCAUCCUCAGACUCCAUGUUCACAGGUCUCUUUCCUGAGAUCAGUCUCAGAACCAAUUCUGUAUCAGUUUGGACCAAGCAAACUAACAGGCAAACCAGCAGUUGGCCGUGAUUCAGGAGAGGAGUCACUGUACAGUAAGCAAGGGAAGUAGAGUAUAAAGAAUUAUUAAACUGUGAUUCAGCGAGUACUGUAAAGAUGUAAAGAAAGCUCUAACCAGUAUCUUAGGGCUGGAUAAACAAACUGUGGUACAGGGAAAAAAAAAAACGUGAUAUAUAUGAUCUUGCAUAUGGUAUGUACAGAAAGAACAGGGCCCCCUUUCCCCAAGAAUGGGAUUUAGACACUGUUGUUGAAGUGUGGUUGCAGCUUAUUUACUUGAUGGCACAGGAUUUUGCUGGGCUGCAUGGCCAGCACUGGUUGACUGUCCCAGGGCAGCACAAAAUAGCCUUCUGAGCUUGCCUGCUCACUGACAGGACAGUACACAGCUUCUGGUGCACGGUGUUCAUGUGGGGAGGCCCAAGGCAAAGUGGUCUCUAGGCUUGACCCAAGGCAGCAAGGUUGCCAAGGGACGACACACUCUGGGUGCAUGGCUGGGUGCAGUGCCACUGGGUAUCUGCAGUGCUAGAGGAUGUGCAAAAACAAGAAAAGGCAGAACAUAGCACACAGGAGUACCAAGAAGAGCCCCCUUUCUCUUGCAAUGUUUCUCUAGCGCCCUCUGCUGACAAUGUUUAACAUUUUGCUCACUGUAAAAGGGAAAUCCAGGCCAUUAACAGGGAAAAGGCACUCUUAGGGCAAAUCCACAGCCAUGAGGCAAUAAAUUGAUAACCGGUACAUGCCCCAAAGUAGAAACCAUACAAAUGCCCAACAGCAGGUGGUACAUCUUUACAAUGGUAUAUUACUCAAAAUAAAAAGGAAUGAACUACUAUAUGCGUAACAACACAGAUGCAUCUCAAAAACAUUUUGCUGAGUAUAAGAAGCCAGGACCCAAAUAGUACAUCCUGUGUCAUCCUAUUUAUAUGAAAAACUUUAACAAGCAAACCAGCAUUUGACUGUUACUCAGAUGAGGCAUCACUGCAAAAGGGCAUGAGAGACUUUCUGGAGUGAUGGAAGUGUUCUAUAUUUGAUUUUACAGUGGUGGUUACUUGAGUUAUGUUCAUUUUUCAAAUCUUAUAGAGCUCUACACUAAAUGAGUGCAUAUUAUUUAUAUAAGUUAUGCUUUAAUAAAGUUAAUGUUUGAAUGUUAAUGGAAAACUAUGGCCUUUCAAUAAAAGCAGGAUCAUUGAGAAUUCAAACCCUUCAACAUUGCAGGUUUGGGUUACCACUGUGUUAAGUAGAAUCUCAACCAGCUGAAGUACUAGCCAAUAGCAAAGAGAAUGUAGGAGAGGGUAGUGAAGGAAGAAAAUCAAAACUAUUGACCAUAGCUUCAAGACUAGUUGCAUAAAUGAAAACUAUAAAAUAAAGCAUCAUUUUAUGGUGUGUGCAAAGCAAGCAUUUUCCUUCCUUUUUUCUUAUUAUUUAUUAAGUAGUUUUGGUAAUAAUCUUCAUUACUUUUGGGGCCAUAGAAUGUUCAGGUGGGAUUUUAAGUGAAUCAGAAAAGGAAUUAAUACCCAGACAUCGUUAUGGUGACUAAUAUGACUCUGUGUUUCCCCUUUGGGGGAUGAGAAUGACAGCAACUCCCCCACCAAGUAUGGCUGCAUCAUACUGGAAGAAGUAUGAUGUUCUGUUAUUUUUGUUGUAUACAAUUUUGCAUAUAGGUAGUAAGGUAUGUAGCAAUGCUGAGCUGCUAAAGAAGUAGACUACAUGAGCUAUUUUUGUUGUAACCUAGCCCAUAUCCAUUUUUUCCCUUUUCCUCUACUACUGGAACUGGGAGUCCAAAAUCUAUAUUUCCUAGAUUGACAGCUAGAAUCAUCAGGUUCUAACAAUAAAAGGCAUGAGCAGGAGAUCAGAACUGAAGAAGACAUAUACUUCCUGCUCGUGGCUCAAAUACCAGGUAGUUGCUUAGUGGCUGUGGGAAGGGCCCUCUGAACUCCUGUGGCCCAUCCCAGCAUCUGCAGCAUAGGAGUGGGGAGCAGCUUCUGGAUUCCUGGAUAUCACGCCUUCCUUUUGGCUCUUCCAGCACUUUCAACUCAUUUGUAACCAAUUCCCCACAUAAAUUCCUCUCUGUUUAAAUAUCUAAUGUGGUCUCUGUAAUAAUAAAAAGCUACAGUAUCAAAAAUUGUGGUUUGGUAAAGAGGGCAGGUGGAAAACUAUGUUCAACUUCCUUAUCUCCCAGAAUCCAACUAAAAUAAAGGUGUAAAUAUUUACAAAACUUAUCAACCCAAAUAGCAAAAGGAACAAGAGGCAAAAAUAUCAACAGAUGAAAGUUCAAUCCAUUUACUGCAAAUUAAAUGUGGAUAGAAAUCUGCCAGUGUUUGAAACGAGAGAGAGCCACAGUCCAGACACAAUGGUUAUAAGUAGGUGCUUGUCUUAGUCGGCUCAGGCUGGCAUAAUACAAUACCAUAGACUGGGUAGCUCCAACAACAGAAGUUAAUUCCUCACAGUUCAGGAGGCUGGAAGUCUAAGAUCAAGGUGCCAGCCCAUUUGCUUUCUGGAGAGGACUCUCUUCCUGGUUUAUAGACAGUUGCCUUCUUGCUGUGUCCUCACAAGGUAGACAGACAGUAAUUUUUCCAGCAUUUCCUUUUAUAAGGACACUAAUCAUAUUGGAUCAGGGUCCCACCCUUAUGAUAUCACUUACUUCCUUACUCCAAAUACAGUCACAUUUGGAGUUAGGGCUUCAGCAUACGAAUGUGGAGUUGGAGGAGACACUAUUCAACUAUUCAGUCCAUAGCAGUGGAUCACAUAAAAUAUACCCCGUAAUUCCGGCUUCUUGAAGUUCUUAGAUUCCUUCUAAUGUAGAUUAUGCCAGGGAGGUCUUCGCAUCUCAAUUUUAUUGACUGUAGUUCACUGUUGGACCCAGGUUUUAGCUGGCCAGGCAAAUAAAUGUUAGAGCCACCCCCCAUUGAUGCAGCUAGGCAUUUAAUUCAGAAUCUCAGGUACUGGCAUAAUACUGGUAGAAUUUUCCCAAUUUAACAUUAUAUUCCAUCCUAAUUGAACUAUCAUAUUUAGAAUCCUUUCUCACAUGUAUCAUUCUGUUGUUGCUGAUAUUAAUUGGCCAAGCUGUUCUGUUCUUUUUAUGGAUAAGCUAUGUCUAUCUGGGUCAGACUGAUCACUUAUCCACACUGGGUUCUGACUCUAGUUAUGAAUCCAGAAGCAAAGAGGGUGGUGGGGCGGGUGUUGAGGAUAAGAAGCAUCACCCUCAGGUGGGGUUAGUACGAGGCCUUCAGGCAAAGGAAGGAUAAUCUUCUCUGGCCAGGUUAGGUCAAGUAAGUGUAAAGUACUUAGCAAAAUGCCAGACAAAUAGUAAACAUUACAUAAGUCUUUAUACUCUGUUUACAGUUGUUACUAUUAGCUGAGUCAGUCCUGGUGAGCAAGGACUUGGAAAUUUCCCAGUCUGUCCUCCCAUCCAGCCUAGCAUGGGCACAGAUGAAGGAGGAGCUGUGAGGUCCUCAAGGCCGAGGAAGGAGCCCUGAGGAGUCAGAUGCAGCAACGAAGUCCAAGCCUGCUAUGCAUCAGAAUCACCUUAGGAGAUUAAAGUAGAUUCGGACUUCUACCUCAGCCCUCUAUAUCAGAAUCAACAGCUCUGGAGUCUGGAAGUUGAAGAUCAAGGCCCAGCUGCUUGGGUUCCUGUGGGCUAGACAGAAAAGGGCACUGCAUUCGAAGUCAGAAGACCAACGCCACAGUCUCGGACCAUAACCCAGCUCUGUCACUAACCAGCCACCUGGCCUUGGAUGUCAGUUCCCCGAGCCUUGCCUAUAAAGUGGAUGUUAACCUGCCCCAUCUAGCCUUCAGAAAAGAAUUAAAUGAUUAUGUGUGUCAUCUAUAAAA